rnacentral:rRNA from 1 species
AUUACCGAGUUUACAACUCCCAAACCCCUGUGAACAUACCACUUGUUGCCUCGGCGGAUCAGCCCGCUCCCGGUAAAACGGGACGGCCCGCCAGAGGACCCCUAAACUCUGUUUCUAUAUGUAACUUCUGAGUAAAACCAUAAAUAAAUCAAAACUUUCAACAACGGAUCUCUUGGUUCUGGCAUCGAUGAAGAACGCAGCAAAAUGCGAUAAGUAAUGUGAAUUGCAGAAUUCAGUGAAUCAUCGAAUCUUUGAACGCACAUUGCGCCCGCCAGUAUUCUGGCGGGCAUGCCUGUUCGAGCGUCAUUUCAACCCUCAAGCACAGCUUGGUGUUGGGACUCGCGUUAAUUCGCGUUCCUCAAAUUGAUUGGCGGUCACGUCGAGCUUCCAUAGCGUAGUAGUAAAACCCUCGUUACUGGUAAUCGUCGCGGCCACGCCGUUAAACCCCAACUUCUGAAUGUUGACCUCGGAUCAGGUAGGAAUACCCGCUGAACUUAAGCAUAUCAAUA